CCCCUUCCCAUCUCUCCAUCCCCUGGUUGCUGCUUCUUGAAUUGCCCAAGGAGAGUGUGCAGUCAACACCAUCCCAUAAAGAAGCUGCCUGAACAUCAUAUCCUGAGCAUCCUAGAAAGGAAAUCCCUAGAACAGUCCCUGGCUCAGAGAAGGACUGCAGAAAUCUCCAUCAGCUGUGGCAUCACUUGGAAUCUCUCAUUUCUGUCAUUUUCAUGUCUAUAUUUCACAUCGUCUUCAACAACUCUAAGAAAUAAAUCACGUCCCUCUUUGGAGAUAAGGAACCGAUACUUAAGGAGAAGGGAAGAUGCAAACAGAGCCAUUCAGUCAUGUGGUGAGCCUGGAACCCAGGCUCAGCUAUCAUAGAGCAGUUUUUUCUGCUGGGUGUUUGAAGCCCAGGGGUGUAUGCCAGUGCACCCGGGGGUCUUAAAUCCACAGUGCAGAUGUGAUACGUCUCCCCAAAGCAUCAGUUCUAUCCCAACGUUCACAGAAAUAAAAAAUGUUAUUCUUAGAUUAAAACAAAUGCAGAUUUUGCAUAAAGCACAAUGUACAAUAUUUGCAUAAAUUACUAAGAUAAGAAAAUUCAGCUUAAGACAAAUUUCCAUCCUUGCAGAAAUCAGCUUAGAGCUCUGUAGCACACUUCCACCACCUCUCCCUAGCUUUUACAUUAACCAGCUGUGUGAUUUUGGGCAAAUUACUUAACGUCUCUUAACGUCCCUAAUUUUUCUCACCUGUAAAAUGGAGUAAUCGUGCCUUCCUCAUAAGUUUGUUGUUAUGAAGAUUAAGUUAAGAUACAUAAGAGAAACCCCCAAAACAGAGCCUGACACAGAAGAAAAAAAAAUGAAAACAUUCAUUUUCUUAUCAUUAUUAUGUUGCAAUUUUUUUAAUUUUUUUUUUUUUUGGAGAU
rnacentral:lncRNA from 1 species